UGUUCUGAAUGCCGAGGAGAUGUUAUC
rnacentral:sRNA from 1 species